ACGCGUGUGCUGGUAGGCCAUCAAUGUGGAAUCCAGUCAGACCGAUUUGAGUGUCAUUAAUGCACGUGUCUACAAUUUCAACGAAAAGGGAGAUCUGAAAUCUUCAGAUUCUCCCUACCAGCCAACGGUGACAUCAUUAUAAAUGGGGAGAGACUGAGAGAUUGAAUACAAAUAAUUGCUCAUCUGCGUAUGAACUCUGGU